rnacentral:rRNA from 1 species
GACGAACGCUGGCGGUGUGCUUAACACAUGCAAGUCGAACGGAAAGGCCCUGCUUUUGUGGGGUGCUCGAGUGGCGAACGGGUGAGUAACACGUGAGUAACCUGCCCUUGACUUUGGGAUAACUUCAGGAAACUGGGGCUAAUACCGGAUAGGAGCCCCUGCUGCAUGGUGGGGGUUGGAAAGUUUCGGCGGUCGGGGAUGGACUCGCGGCUUAUCAGCUUGUUGGUGGGGUAGUGGCUUACCAAGGCUUUGACGGGUAGCCGGCCUGAGAGGGUGACCGGCCACAUUGGGACUGAGAGACGGCCCAGACUCCUACGGGAGGCAGCAGUGGGGAAUAUUGCACAAUGGGCGGAAGCCUGAUGCAGCAACGCCGCGUGCGGGAUGACGGCCUUCGGGUUAUAAACCGCUUUCGCCUGUGACGAAGCGUGAGUGGCGGUAAUGAGUAAAGAAGCACCGGCUAACUACGUG